UCGUUUACCGUGAAAAAAUUAGAGUGUUCAAAGCAGGCAGAUCCAAUUUUCUGCCACCGAAUACAUUAGCAUGGGAUAAUGGAAUAGGACCCUGUCCUCCUAUUUUCAGUUGGUUUUGGCAGCGCGAGGACUAGGGUAAUGAUUAAUAGGGAUAGUUGGGGGCAUUAAUAUUUAAUUGUCAGAGGUGAAAUUCUUGGAUUUAUGAAAGAUUAACUUCUGCGAAAGCAUCUGCCAAGGAUGUUUUCAUUAAUCAAGAACGAAAGUUAGGGGAUCGAAGACGAUCAGAUACCGUCGUAGUCUUAACCAUAAACGAUGCCGACCAGCGAUUAGGAGACGUUGAAUACAAAACACCACCAUCGGUGCGGUCGUCCUUGGCGUCUCGGUCCUUCACGGGGCCGGGGCGCGGGGGUGGCUUAGCCCGGUGGCACCGGUGAAUGACUCCCCUAGCAGCUUGUGAGA
rnacentral:rRNA from 1 species